ACAUCCAGCGAACUUGGCAGNGAUGCCUUGGUGCCUUCGGGAACGCUGAGACAGGUGCUGCAUGGCUGUCGUCAGCUCGUGUUGUGAAAUGUUGGGUUAAGUCCCGNAACGAGCGCAACCCUUAUCCUUUGUUGCCAGCGAUUCGGUCGGGAACUCAAAGGAGACUGCCGGUGAUAAACCGGAGGAAGGUGGGGAUGACGUCAAGUCAUCAUGGCCCUUACGAGUAGGGCUACACACGUGCUACAAUGGCGCAUACAAAGAGAAGCGACCUCGCGAGAGCAAGCGGACCUCAUAAAGUGCGUCGUAGUCCGGAUCGGAGUCUGCAACUCGACUCCGUGAAGUCGGAAUCGCUAGUAAUCGUGGAUCAGAAUGCCACGGUGAAUACGUUCCCGGGCCUUGUACACACCGCCCGUCACACCAUGGGAGUGGGUUGCAAAAGAAGUAGGUAGCUUAACCUUCGGGAGGGCGCUUACCACUUUGUGAUUCAUGACUGGGGUGAAGUCGUAACAAGGUAAGCGUAGCGAG
rnacentral:rRNA from 1 species